rnacentral:rRNA from 1 species
AUGUCGUCCUCCGCCGCCGCGAGCGCGUGGCGGCGCUCCCUCCGCGGCGCCCUCCUGCACGGCUCCCCGUGGCGCGCCUCCGCCCCCGCCCCCGCNNNNNNNNNNNNNNNNNNNNNNNNNNNNNNNNNNNNNNNNNNCGCGGCGCCCAUUAAGGUGCCCCCGCCUCCCCGCAAGGGUAGGCUUUUGACUGGGGCCAUGAUAGGAUUGGCCAUUGCUGGAGGUGCUUACGUGAGUACUACCGACGAGGCCACGUUUUGUGGGUGGUUAUUCAAAUCAACAGAACUCGUGAAUCCACUCUUUGCAUUGCUAGAUGCAGAGUUUGCUCAUCAGUUGGCUGUUUCUGCUGCUGCUCAUGGAUUUGUCCCAAGAGAAAAGAGACCUGAUCCACCAGUUCUUGGGAUAGAGGUUUGGGGAAGGAACUUUACAAAUCCAAUUGGUCUUGCUGCUGGUUUUGAUAAGAAUGCCGAGGCCGUGGAGGGUCUAUUGGGUCUUGGAUUUGGCUUUGUGGAAGUUGGCUCUGUAACACCUCAGCCUCAAGAGGGAAAUCCUAAGCCGCGAAUAUUCAGAUUGAAAGAGCAUGGUGCUGUAGUCAAUCGCUGCGGGUUCAACAGUGAAGGAAUUGUUGUAGUUGCUAAGCGUCUUGGGGCACAACAUGGUAAGAGGAAGAUGGAGGAAACUUCGAGCUCCAGUGAUGUAAAGCAAGGAGGGAAAGCAGGUCCUGGAAUUUUGGGAGUUAAUCUUGGCAAGAAUAAGACUAGUGAAGAUGCUGGUGCUGAUUACGUGCAAGGAGUUCAUUCGUUGUCACAGUAUGCUGAUUACCUGGUCAUAAAUGUUUCUUCCCCAAAUACUCCUGGUCUUCGCCAAUUGCAAGGUAGAAAGCAGCUGAAAGAACUUGUGAAGAAGGUGCAAGAUGCACGAGAUGAGAUGCAGUGGGCUGAAGAUGGUCCACCACCAUUGCUUGUGAAGAUCGCGCCGGACUUGUCGAAGCAGGAUCUUGAGGACAUUGCUGCGGUUGCUCUUGCUUCCAAGUUGGAUGGCCUGAUUAUAUCAAACACAACAAUUUCAAGGCCACCUCCUGCAGACGCACAUCCAUUAGCUCAGGAAGCCGGCGGAUUAAGUGGGAAGCCUCUGUUUGACUUAUCUACUCAAGUUCUCAGGGAUAUGUAUAUCCGUACAGCCGGCAAGGUUACGCUGAUAGGCUGUGGUGGUGUAACUAGCGGCGAGGACGCAUACAAGAAGAUACGUUCUGGAGCCACGCUUGUUCAGCUUUACACUGCACUUGCCUACGGAGGUCCAGCUCUCAUCCCGAGAAUAAAGGCCGAGCUUGCAGAAUGCUUGGAAAGAGACGGCUUCAAAUCUGUCCAGGAAGCAGUGGGAGCAGACUUCAAGCCCUUGAAGGCCUGA